rnacentral:rRNA from 1 species
GAUGAACGCUGGCGGCGUGCUUAACACAUGCAAGUCGAGCGAAGCACUUAUCAUUGACUCUUCGGAAGAUUUGGUAUUUGACUGAGCGGCGGACGGGUGAGUAACGCGUGGGUAACCUGCCUCAUACAGGGGAAUAACAGUUAGAAAUGGCUGCUAAUGCCGCAUAAGCGCACAGGACCGCAUGGUCUGGUGUGAAAAACUGAGGUGGUAUGAGAUGGACCCGCGUCUGAUUAGGUAGUUGGUGGGGUAACGGCCUACCAAGCCGACGAUCAGUAGCCGGCCUGAGAGGGUGAACGGCCACAUUGGGACUGAGACACGGCCCAGACUCCUACGGGAGGCAGCAGUGGGGAAUAUUGCACAAUGGGGGAAACCCUGAUGCAGCGACGCCGCGUGAAGGAAGAAGUAUCUCGGUAUGUAAACUUCUAUCAGCAGGGAAGAAAAUGACGG